rnacentral:misc_RNA from 1 species
UGGCUCUCGCAUCGAUGAAGAACGCAGUGAAAUGCGAUAAGUAAUGUGAAUUGCAGAAUUCAGUGAAUCAUCGAAUCUUUGAACGCACCUUGCGCCCCUUGGUAUUCCGAGGGGCAUGCCCGUUUGAGUGCCGUGAUCAUUCUCAACUCCCAAGCCUUUGCUCGGAGUGUUGGACUUGGAUGCUGCUGGUUGCUCCGGCUCAUCCCAAAUGCAUCGGCCUGGCAGAUUUUGGGAGCCGGCCCGUAGGUGUGAUAACCUUUACGCCCUCUGGUGCCUUCCCUCUGUCGGCUUAUAGCCGUCUCCUCCUGGGGACAAUAAUUUUACGCUCUGGCCUCAAAUCAGGUAGGACUACCCGCUGA